AAUAUAGAUUGUCUUCCCAAUCAUACACUGCACCUCCCAUUUCCACUUUGGCAAAAUAAUAUAUUUAUAUAAAAAAUCACCAUCACAAUCGAAAAGCCGAAAUUGAUAGACACACUCCCUUGUCAUUUCUUGCUGAUUACAAAUUUUCUACUCUGAAAAAAUCUGCAAGGAAAAAAAAAAAACCUAUCUCAAAGGGUGUUUUGAAAUCAGUCUUAAACAGCAAGCAAAGCAGAUUUGAAGAAUCCAUAGAUAUAGUUUGCUUCAAGACGAUAGAGAUUAGGAAGGAAGAAAAAUUAGCAUGGCGAGCCCGAAAUCCAGAAGCGGGGAGGGCGUGCCCUGCGAUUUCUGCACUGAUCAGCCGGCGGUUCUCUACUGUAAGGCCGACUCCGCCAAGCUCUGCUUAUUCUGCGACCAGCACGUGCACUCGGCCAACUUGCUCUCCCGGAAGCACGUGCGCUCUCAGAUCUGUGAUAAUUGCGCGUCCGAGCCCGUCUCCGUCCGCUGCUCUACCGACAACCUCGUUCUCUGCCAGGAGUGCGAUUGGGACGCCCACGGUAGCUGCUCUGUCUCGGCCGCACACGAUCGCACCCCUCUCGAGGGCUUCUCCGGCUGCCCCUCCGCGCUCCAGCUCGCCUCCCUGCUGGGCCUCGAUCUCCACGACAAGAACGUUCCGGGUCAACCCGACCCGCAGCUCCAGAACUGGGAUAUGGGUAUGCCCUCCCUGGAUUCUUCUUGGAGUGGGAUGGGCCUGCAGGACUUGAUGGUGCCCAACCACAACCAGAACCGCGUCGUUUACCCGAAUGAUGAGCUGAUGGUGAAGAGACAGAGUGCCGGGGGCAUUAGCGGGAAGCAGAAGCAGGGGAUACAGAAGCAGCUGGUGGAGUUGCUUAAGAGAGACUUGGACGGUAGCGGUGGCGGUGGCGAUGGAGGUGGUUGUGGUGAUGGUGGAGAGAAUUUGGUGGUGCCGCGUACGCCGCCAAGCAGUGGUUGGCAGGAGGACAAUGGAAAUGGGAACGGGGAAGGUCUUGAACCGCUUGAGCUGGGGAAUAGGAAUGGAGGUGUUGAUGGGGUUGUAGUUUCUGCUGCCACUUCGCAGCCAUUGUUGCAGCAACAAGCGCCCUUUACGUCUCUGCUUAUGAUGCCUGAAGAGAACCGUGGCAUUGUCGACGGUGACAUGUUGUGGAAUAGCAACCCCCAUGGUCAGAGCAGUCAGAUAUGGGAUUUCCAUUUAGGACGGUCGAGGGAUCAUGAAGAAUCAGGUCCAUUGGAAGUCACAUAUGGUUCAAACGAUUCAGGAUUUAUGAUUAAGAAUUUUGGUGAACUUAUGAAAGAAACAUCUUUGACUGAUACAAAAAUGUUCAGAGAUUUGUACCAGAUGAACUGCCCUGUUGGACAUGAUGAUAUAAAAUUCAGUAACAACUCCAAUAACCCCACACCCAGUCAGGGGCCAGCAACAUCUGAGAGCAACAACAUCCCUGUUGGGCGGCCGUCAUUGGGGUCAGCUUUUGGUGAAGACAAGGGCUCUGGUGCUUCUACAGAUCUCAAUUUUAUGGAACAAUCUUUUCUGAUGAGAGGUGACAGUCUGAGAACGGUAGGCACAAAGGCUGACAUGGAGCUACUAGCACAAAACAGAGGCAACGCUAUGCUACGUUACAAAGAGAAGAAGAAAACCCGAAGAUAUGAUAAGCACAUAAGAUAUGAGUCAAGGAAAGCAAGAGCUGAUACUAGGAAGCGAGUCAAGGGUCGAUUUGUGAAGGCUACUGAGGCUCCUGAUGGUUAGAUCAGAUCCAUGUUGAGUUGGGGCUUCUCCUAUCUUCUUGUUUGUAAAUAUUGGUUUCUUUCCUCGCAAGGCAAAUCAACCUCUGCUCUCCCGAGCUUGUUCUAGAAGUGGAAGGACGGCUUCACGUCACAAACUCACAAUGUAAAAUAUUACAGAAUUGUUUGACAUUCACUCACUCAUUAUAGAUAUCGGUCUCUCUAGGCAAA